GGCUAUGUAGCUUAAUGGUAAAGCAGGCGUUUCAUAAGCGCCCGACAGAGGUCCGAUUCCUCUCAUAGCCA
rnacentral:tRNA from 5 species